rnacentral:lncRNA from 1 species
AGUAAUAUUUUAUCUGGGGCUCUCAGAACCCAGGAAACAGAAAUAUAUGUAACCGGGUGGCACUCCUGGCAGUUCCUUUCCUCGGUGRCAUUUCCAAAGGCCUGGCAAAGCGGGAGAAAACAAGAUGCUUCUCUUGUAUUGACUGGAAUUGCUGCUGUGUUCCUUGGGCAUCRUGUUGUCAACGUGGCCAGCGGCAUUUUAUUGAAUGGAGGUGCCCACAGAGUCRCUCACCUGGACUUCGCAGGAGACAUUUUGCAGAUGUAGAGAGGGAUGGCAAUACUUUGUAAAACCUUUGACGGCACCUGCUCGCCCUCCUCCCCAGCAGCCGCCRCGUUUUGGAGGUGCUGCCUGCGGAGCCAUGAGCUCCGGUGUCCCGGGGGUACAGCGGGCCGCAGGGAUGUUGUGCAGACCCCGUUUGCGCUGGUGCCGCUGGCGUGGAGGCUGCCAGCGGGAGCGAGCCCAGCCUCUCCUCGCCUCUGCCGGGAGGGCUGUGGAGGCAGGAGGAUGGCAGGCAGCUCGGCUCGUUGCACAAGCAGCGACCGCGGCAGCCUUCCCCUGCAUCGCCUUCGUGUUUUGGGGAUGGGAGGUGAGGUGGAGAGCAGGAGGCUGGCGAGCCGGGCCUUCCUGGCGUUGGCAAAAAACCAGCCCCACGCAGUUUGGGUUUGGCUGGGAAGGAGGGAGGGAAAGCGCAAGGACGCUGGCAUUGCCAGGCGAAUUGGCACGCGGUGGUUUAAGCCAUGAAUAAAUAAAUGCUGCAUUUGCAUGUCCCUGAGUCUCUCCACUACAUCUAGGCUCAGGAGCUGCCCUGGAGAUUGAAAAGCGAGGGAAAUGUUUUUUGGGGUUUUUUUUUGGAAAGCAGAGCAAUAUUUGGCUGCAGAGAGAUGCUAAGGGCUAUUUUGGUGGGUUCACCAUCCAGACAUGGCAAACAAACCUUCGC